GGCAAGCCAUGUGGGGAAAUAUCUCCAUCCAGAAGACCCUCUUCUUCAAUUGCGUCAAACUCCUUCAAUGGCUUCCGGCUGACUUUAUGGUUGGAUCCAUCAGUCUUGCGGUGGGGCUUGAGGGAACCAGAGAAGCGAGUAGAGGAGGACUCCCGGGAAUGAGGCCCUAAGGAAGAGUUGGAGUGGGAGUGAGGAGGCGACCCCACGGGGCUAAGAACUGGAGUGGAGUGGAAGGAGUUUGUGGUUUUCUCGCCAUCAUGAGAGUCCCUUGAUGGGCUUUGCACGUAGUAUACAGGGAGGCGAGGCGGGGAUGAUCUUGUAGGAGAUGACUGAGUUAGGCUGCUUACCUCCGAGUCUGUCUUCGAUAGCUGAGCUGACAUUGCUAAUUAGUUUGAUAAAUUGAAGAAAAUGCUGUUGAUUGGAACUGAUGGGUAUUACAGAUUUUUGCAGAGGAGAUGGGCAAGUGAAGAGGGAGAAAGUAGUUUGUUUGAUUUUUUU
rnacentral:misc_RNA from 1 species